GACGAACGCUGGCGGCGUGCCUAAUACAUGCGAGUUGAGCGCUGAAGGUUGGUACUUGUACCAACUGGAUGAGCAGCGAACGGGUGAGUAACGCGUGGGGAAUCUGCCUUUGAGCGGGGGACAACAUUUGGAAACGAAUGCUAAUACCGCAUAAAAACUUUAAACACAAGUUUUAAGUUUGAAAGAUGCAAUUGCAUCACUCAAAGAUGAUCCCGCGUUGUAUUAGCUAGUUGGUGAGGUAAAGGCUCGCCAAGGCGAUGAUACAUAGCCGACCUGAGAGGGUGAUCGGCCACAUUGGGACUGAGACACGGCCCAAACUCCUACGGGAGGCAGCAGUAGGGAAUCUUCGGCAAUGGACGAAAGUCUGACCGAGCAACGCCGCGUGAGUGAAGAAGGGUUUCGGAUCGUAAAACUCUGUUGGUAGAGAAGAACGUUGGUGAGAGUGGAAAGCUCAUCAAGUGACGGUAACUACCCAGAAAGGGACGGCUAACUACGUG
rnacentral:rRNA from 1 species